UGUGUGGGACCAUGGAUCAUUGGGGGCGAUUUCAAUCUAAUUUUCAGGGAGGAAGACAAGAACAAUUCCAAUAUUAACAGGGCUAUGCUGGGGGACUUCCAUAGGCUUAUUAAUUCCUUGGAUCUGAAAGAGAUUCAUUUGAAGGGAAGGAGGUAUACUUGGUCCAACCAGAGGGAUGCUCCAACUCUUGUUAAGCUGGACCAUGUUUUUUGCACUAGCUGUUGGGAAGAUCUAUUCCCGGACGCUUCUCUUCAUAGUAAUGCUACCACAUCAUUUUUUUCGAAAACGCAGGAGAGCUGUGUAUCAUUAUAUUAAGAGGAAAAAGGUGAGGAUAGGAAACCUCAUACAAACCAAACAAACCCACACACCCACACGCACUCUAGGCUACCACAUCUUCAGAUCAUUGUCCUUUGACCCUCAAUGUCAGAGUUGGCUGCAUGGGGAAAAGACGGUUUCACUUUGAGAGUUUUUGGCCCAAAAUUCCUGGUUUUCUGGAGGUGGUGGGUGCGUCUUGGAGUAUGCCAGUUAGGAGCUCCUGCCCGUUGGAGCAAGUGUCAUUGAAGCUUAAAAGGUUAGCUCGUGUUUUGCAGUCCUAGGGGGCAUAAAGAAGUGGGUAAUGUGAGGACGCAGCUGGGGCUUGUCAGAGAAGUGUUGCAUAGGCUGGAAAUGGCGCAGGAUAUCAGAAUUUUGUCCAGUGGGGAAGUUUGGUUGCUAAAUUUGUUGAAGCAACGAUGCCUUAGCCUUGCGUCUCUUGAAAGGACUGUUGCUCGGUUGAGAUCGCGGAUCCACUAUCUAAAGGAGGGUGAUGCCAACACUAAGUUCAUUCAUUUACAGGCAUGUUAUCGGAAGAAAAAUAAUUUCAUUUCCAAACUUGAGGAAGAUGGAAGAAUGGCUACCAAUCAUGAUGACAUGCAGCAAAUUUUUGAAGAAUAUUUUUGUAAUCUGCUGGGGGCUGAUUUGCAGAGACAUUUUACUAUUGGUCUGAGUAAUUGUCACAGGGCUACGAUGGAUCUAAGUGCUUUGGAGCAGCCUUUUUCGGAAAAAGAGGUUAUGGACACCAUUGCUUGUCUCCCUUCUGACAAGGCUCCUGGGCCUGAUGGUUUUACAGGAAAAUUUUACAAGACAUGUUGGGACAUCAUUAAAGUCGACAUAAUGGCUGCUCUUAACUCGCUUUACCAUGGUAAUGCCUAUAAGCUUGAUUUGCUGAACUCAGCGUAUCUCAUUCUUCUCCCGAAGAGAGAGGAUGCUUCUUCAGCUGGAGAUUUUCGUCCAAUUAGCUUGAUUCAUAGUUUUGCUAAGUUGGUCACUAAGAUCCUCGCUAAUCGAUUGGGGCCAUAUCUUCAAGACCUGGUGGCAGCUAACCAGAGUGCUUUGAUUAGAGGAAGGUCAAUCCAAGACGAUUUCAUGCUAGUGCAACAAUCAAUUAAGUUCCUUCAUAAGAGGAGGAUCUCUAGUUUACUGCUGAAACUGGAUAUUUCCAAGGCUUUCGACUCAGUCUUGUGGGCGUUUUUGUUAGAAAUUUUGACACAUUUGGGCUUUGGACCUGUUUGGCGUAAUCUGAUCUCCAACUUGUUAUUCACUUCUUCUACUCAGGUGGUCCUGAAUGGCUCGCCUGGUAAUCAUAAUUUUCAUCGGAGAGGUCUUCGCCAGGGAGAUCCUCUUUAUCCCAUGUUAUUUGUGUUGGUUAUGGAUGUUCUUAGCAGCAUGUUCAGGGCUGCUGAAAAUAGAGGUUUGUUGCAGAGCCUUGGGGGAGCUGAUAUCCGUAGUAGAGUCUCCAUUUAUGCGAAUGAUGUGGUUCUUUUCAUAAAGCCAAUUGAAGCAGAUCUGAAUUGUGCUAAGAUGAUACUAAACUGUUUUGGUUCAGCUUCCGGUCUGGUAACCAAUAUGCUCAAGAGAAGUGCUAUUCCAAUUAGAUGUGAUGUUCAGCAGGUGCUUGCUGGAUGCAGUGUGUUGCAAUGCAGUCCCGCUUCGUUUCCUUGCAGGUAUCUGGGGCUGCCCAUCUCUGAUAAAAAAUUGAGGAAGUGUGACCUUAGGUUAUGGAUUGAGAAGAUUGCAGACCGUUUGCCUAACUGGAAGGCUCGACUGCUCAACUUGGCUGGGCGGACUGAGCUGGUGAAGUUUGUUCUAUCGGCCAUUCCGACCUAUCUUCUUAUUGCAAUCAAUGUCUCUCAGUGGGUUAUUAAAUCAAUUGAUAAAAUUCGGCGAUGAUUUCUUUGGAGAGGAAGAAAGGAGGUUAAUGGUGAUAGCUGUCUUGUUCCAUGGGAAGUUGUCAUGAGGCCCUUGAAGCUUGGCGGGCUUGGGAUCCCUAACCUUAAAUUCAAAAGCUGGGCAUGCAGGCAAAAUGGUUAUGGUUGGAAAAGACGGAUCUGAGCAGACCCUGGCGUGGGCUGUCCCUCCCAGUGCAGCGAUAGGUUAGACAGUUUUUUGACUUGUCGGUUUUUACCAUUUUAGGGAAUGGGACUACUACUCUCUUCUGGUCGGAUAGAUGGAUUCAUGGGAAUACUAUCCAGGACAUUGCCCCUGAGGUGGUGGGUAUGGUUGGCCGCAAGGCGUAUUCUUCCAGAACGGUGGCACAGGCUCUGGAUAAUUGGCAUUGGGUCAGUGACAUUCGUGGUCCUCUUUCCUUGAGAGGGUUGCAGCAAUAUCUGUUGUUAUGGGAUACUGUGGGAGAAGUUUUGCUUUCUCAAGAUGCUGACAAACAUGUUUGGAUGCACUCUUCUUCUGGGAUGUUCUCCUCGAAGUCUUGCUAUAAGGCUUUUUUCAUAGGAUCCAUUUCAUUUGAGCCAUGAAAACGUUUGUGGAAAUCCUGGGCUCCCCCAAAAUGCAAGUUCUUCCUCUGGUUGGUGAUAAGGAAUAAGUGUUGGACUGCUGAUAGACUAAGAAGGAGAGGGUUGCAACACCCGGUUGUUUGUGUUCUAUGUGACCAAGAGCAGGAAACAGUGCAACAUCUUCUGUGUACUUGCAGUUUUGCCAGGCAGUUUUGGCAUGCUAUCCUUUUUCCCUUGAGUCUAGGGGCUCUUACUCCUGCUGUUGAUGAAAUCUCCUUUGCUGAUUGGUGGAGGAAGGUGAUUAAGAAGGUGCACAAAAGCAGAAAGAAAGGCUUCAACAGUCUCAUUAUUUUGGGGUCAUGGUGCUUAUGGCUGACUAGAAACAGAGUUGUUUUUGAUGGUGUGAACCCUUCUCUAAGCUCUGUAAAAAAAUUGUUUAUGAAUGAGUUAAGCUGCUGGGAUAGGGCUGGGGCUAAGCAGCUAGCAAGUUUUGGUCUUCCUGCUAUUAUGAGUAGGGUCUAGAUUGUGGUCAAGUGUUCGGUUUGCCCUAUGGGCAUUGUACUUUGGUCCUCUUGGACCUUUUUUCCUCUCUUAAUAUAAUGAUGUGCAGUCCUCCUACGCGUUCGAGAGAAAAAAAGAUUUUUUGUGAACUUUGUUAGUUCAUGUGCACCAAAGACUCAUGUGCACCGAAUAUAUUCCCGUCUGUGAAUCCCCAGACCCCAGAUACCGAAACUAUUAUUUUACAGCCUGCAUGCGAUGUAUUUUAAAUAACUGUACCAGAAAAGUUUACUUACUGCAGCCUUUUGGCCCGUUAAUCUCCUAACGGAUGGAGCCCUUGCAACCGAUGAUGCGGCAGCAGCAGCAGCUACUCGGAUCCUGUAAGGGAGUGAGAUUCAUCAUGGUGGCGGCUUUAUGGAACUGAAACACCAGCUCUACAGAAGAUGGCUACCAAGAUCCUAUCUUUAACAGCAAGUUCUUCUGGUUGUGAAAGAAAUUGGAGUGGGUUUGAUGGGGUGCACACUAAGAAGAGAAAUAGGCUUACUACAGACUGCCUCAACAAGUUGGUCUACAUUCAGUUCAACAACAGGCUAAUUAAUAAGAGAGCAAAGAUCAAGUCCAAGAAAAUUACUGAUGUUCUCUUGUCUAGUGGUACAACUGAAGCUCAAGGUUUCCUCCAAGAGAAUGGAGAUGAUUGUGCAUUAGUUUCCUUUAGAGAUGAGGAAGAAGUCAUGGAAGGUACAGGGAUACUUUGGUCUGUGCUUGGAGAUGCAGUGGGAGCAGAAGAACAACUAGAGCUGCGUAGAAGUGCAAGGGUAAGAGAGCUCAAUGAAGAAGAGUUUGAGUCCGAAGAAGAAGAGUUUGAUGAAGAUGAGGAUGAGUAUGAGAUGGAUGAAACCUAAGUGUGAGCCAGCUUCAUGUCAUGUUUUAGCUUUUAUUAUGCAUCCAUGUAUCUUUAACUUGUGAACUUAGAAAUCCUGUUGUGCGCUUGUGUUUUGUGUUGUGGCUUGUGAGAACUGAA